rnacentral:rRNA from 1 species
GAUGAACGCUGGCGGCGUGCCUAAUACAUGCAAGUCGAGCGAACGGACGAGAAGCUUGCUUCUCUGAUGUUAGCGGCGGACGGGUGAGUAACACGUGGAUAACCUACCUAUAAGACUGGGAUAACUUCGGGAAACCGUAGCUAAUACCGGAUAAUAUUUUGAACCGCAUGGUUCAAAAGUGAAAGACGGUCUUGCUGUCACUUAUAGAUGGAUCCGCGCUGCAUUAGCUAGUUGGUAAGGUAACGGCUUACCAAGGCAACGAUGCAUAGCCGACCUGAGAGGAUGAUCGGCCACACUGGAACUGAGACACGGUCCAGACUCCUACGGGAGGCAGCAGUGGGGAAUCUUCGGCAAUGGGCGAAAGCCUGACGGAGCAACGCCGCGUGAAUGAUGAAGGUCUUCGGGUCGUAAACCGCUGUUAUUAGGGAAGAACAUGUGUGGAAGAAAAUGUGCACAUCAUGACGGUACCUUAUCAGAAAGCAACGGCUAACUACGUG